rnacentral:rRNA from 1 species
AAUCAACGCUGGCGGCGUGCCUAACACAUGCAAGUCGAACGCGAAAGCCCGCAAGGGUAAGUAGAGUGGCGCACGGGUGAGUAACACGUGGACAACCUGCCUUCGAGUGGGGAAUAACCU